rnacentral:rRNA from 1 species
CCAUGCUGUAAACGAUGAAUGCUUGAUGUUGGACUGAAGUUCAGUGUCGAAGUUAACGCGAUAAGCAUUCCGCCUGGGGAGUACGGCCGCAAGGUUAAAACUCAAAGGAAUUGACGGGGACCCGCACAAGCGGUGGAGCAUGUGGUUUAAUUCGAUGCAACGCGAAGAACCUUACCAACUCUUGACAUCCUCAUCGGGGAGAAGAGAGAUCUUUUCUUUCAGUUAGGCUGGAUGAGUGACAGAUGCUGCAUGGCUGU